CUGAGGCUUUUUCUUGUAGCUUCAGACAAAUUAAAAACCUCCUUACCAGCCAUUCAUUCUGAGGAGGCCUCUUCCUUCCUCCGCAGGGGGGCUGCAGCGUUGGAAGGAGAUCGGAUUCUGGGAGGCUGGGCCUCCCGGGGCUCUCAAGGAGGGGGAGCCUGCAAGAAUGGAAAGAGAGAGGCCCUAACCCCGAAGAGAUUGGCAGCAGGUGACCUCUGCACAGGCCCCUGGAGGCGCCUUUGUUCUGGGGCAUUCUGCAGCCCGCCCCGCCCCCACCCCUUGCACCUGGGCAGCAGCCUCCGCAUGCACUUGUCCACCCUUGGCUGGCUCGCAAGGAGGGAUGGGCGGAUGCCUUUGUAUGUGAAAAGCCACGAGUCCUCCAACUCCUGGUUUCCCUUGGCUUGGCACAUUCACAGAUGCUUUUCCUGUUCACUCUGACAGCCACAGAAACCUACUCCCAGAGAAAAAUAGCUUAGCCUGCAACACUUGAUCUGGUAAGACAAGUCUGUGACUGAGACUACCAAGCGGGAGACCCUCGCUCUUCCUGGCGAGAGCCCCGCCCUGCAGAAACCCAGGUGUUCCCUGCUGAGUUCUAAUCCAAUCUCUCCGAGUUUGGCUAAUUUAAUUGCGUAAUGGUCCACACCUGAGACAUCCCCUUAACUCUCUUUAGGACAUUACUUAGCUUAAAAGAACUAAUGAGUAUUAAAGACCGGGACUUAGACUUGAAAGCUUUUACCAUCUCUAAAACAUCUGAGUCAAGCAGAAGAAACCUGAUUGGGGGGAGGGGGUGGCUUCCCAGUUAGAAAAAGCAACAAGAAGUAAUUAAAGUUCUUGCUAAGUGAGUCUGAAAUAUGUAUUUAGCUCUCGUAAAUUAAAUACCCUAGGUUUUUAAAGAGCGAUUUCCCCAAACAUCUAUUAUUCACAUCAGUAGGACAGACGGUAAGCCACUAGAAGAUUUAUAGAAACUAAAAGACUUCCUAUGCUAAAGGUUAAUGAAAGCGUAAUUUGAAUCAUGAAAUCUUUAUGUGUC
rnacentral:lncRNA from 1 species